AUGGAUAUUGGAGAUAGAGAUAUUAGUAGAAACGGACAUAUAAGAGCCAGCUCAGCUGUAAACAGUCACAGUUUACAAUGGUAUCAACAGAAGCCAGGAGCCAGUCCAAAUCUCCUUAUUUAUCAAACAUCCAACCUGGCCUCUGGGACCCCUGGCCGGUUCAGGGGCAGUGGCUCGGGUACAGAUUACUCUCUGACCAUCAGCAGCAUCCAGGCAGAAGAUGCUGCAAGCUACUACUGUAAGGCUUGGAACAGACCUUCACCCACAGUGUUAGAGACUGGAACAAAAACCUCCUUCACCCCUGAUGGCACAACUGUUCCCCCCUUAGAAACC